rnacentral:rRNA from 1 species
UCGCUACUACCGAUUGAAUGGCUUAGUGAGUCCUCCGGAUUGAUAGAUCACAUCUGGCAACAGAAGUAAUUUGUCGAGAAGUUGGGCAAACUUGGUCAUUUAGAGGAAGUAA